rnacentral:lncRNA from 10 species
GCUGGAGUGCAGUGGCAUGAUCACGGUUCACUGCAGCCUCAAACUCCUGGUCUCAAGUGAUCCUCCCAUCUCAGACUCCUGAGCAGUGACUGCACAAUGAAUGUUUGCUGAGUUCAAUGACUGAAAGGAUCUAUACUAGGGCAGAUGUCUAGGGGACUGCUGAGACAAGAAGGCCGCAGAGGUGAGUCAUUUUUCAACAGACGUGAGUCCUGUUUUUUGGGGGCUUACAUUUUAGGAAGAUGAGCAUUGACUGGUAUUUUUCAAGUUUAGGGAAGGGUAGAUGUUGGCAGAGAAAAGAUUAUUCAACCUCAGAGAAUGAUCAACAGAAUAUUCAGAGGUAACCGGUAAGACAAGUCUAAUUCUGAGCAUGAAUAAGCUUCUCCUUAAAGAGGAAAUUGAACUGAAGAUCACGAAGAAUAACUAGAUGACUCACCCAUCAAAAUAGGAAGUUCUCUCUGGUAAGGAAGAUGGUGGCAUUGAGGUGGCAGAAACCACAAAGAUCCUCCUCAAACACUUACCACAUAGCAGACUUCACUCUUGCUACUUGGGCUACUGUCUCUGGAGUGGAAGACCUGUCCACUGACCAGGACUUGAUAGAGGCAGUGAAGCACUGUGUUAAAAAGACCCCAGGCCCUGGAGCCGCUGCCUCGCUCUGAACAAAGACUCCCUCAUGUAGCAGCUGUACAAACUUGGGCAUUUGUAAAAGUAGAUAUAAUAACAGUUCCUUAUGCACCGACUUAUUAUGAAGACUGAGAGUUAAUAGCUGUAAGUGUAUAGAACAGUGCCUGGCUUGUACUAAGCAUUCACUGGAGGUUAGCUAUUUUUAUUGUGCUUCUAUUGCUGACUCUAAUUGUUUGUAUAUUUGAACUGAAGAAUUCUCAGUGAGUUUUAGAAGGAAGAGAAGAUGCUUACAUAUCACUUGGGUAUGAAACAAGAGUAUAAAUCAUACAUCUUACAUCUCAUAACAACUUUAUUCACAAGAUGAUCUUCUUUCAUCAGCCCAAGGACUGGCUUCUCUAAACUGCCACAUAAUUGUCCUCUGCAGUAGAACUCCCCAUAGACCAUUAUGUUUUAUGUUUAUGGACUUUCACCCAAGACUUUAACAGCAGCAAUGGAAGGAUUCUGCUAAAAUCUUAUGUUUCAUUUUCUUUUACUUUCGGACCAUUGGAACUAUUAGAACCCAUGAUCUAUUGUUCGUAUAUAAAUAUUACUCUAACCUGGAAAGUAGCUCUUUCUUUAUUAAGGCAAAUAUUUAUUUAAUCCAUGUUUUCUAUUUAAAACAUCAAAAUAUAUAUUUUAAAAAUGCAUACAUUAAAGAAAAAAAUGUAUG